UACGUAGGGGGCAAGCGUUUGUCCGGAUUUAUUGGGCGUAAAGAGCGUGUAGGCGGUUUGGUAGGUCCGUUGUGAAAACUCGAGGCUCAACCUCGAGACGCCGGCGGAAACCAUCAGGCUAGAGUCCGGAAGAGGAGAGUGGAAUUCCUGGUGUAGCGGUGAAAUGCGCAGAUAUCAGGAAGAACACCCGUGGCUAAGGCGGCUCCUCUAGUACGGUACUGACGCUGAGACGCGAAAGCGUGGGGAGCGAACAGGAUAGAUCCGA
rnacentral:rRNA from 1 species